GACGAACCGAGCGAACGUUGUUCGGAAUCACUGGGCUUAAAGGGCGCGUAGGCGGGUGCUCAAGUCCGGGGUGAAAUCCUCCAGCUCAACUGGAGAACUGCCUCGGAUACUGGGUGUCUCGAGUGGUGGUGAGGGGUAAGUGCGGAACUAUCGGUGGAGCGGGUGAAAUGCGUUGAUAUCGAUAGGAACUCCGGUGGCGAAGGCGGCAUACUGGACCACUACUGACGCUGAUGCGCGAAAGCCAGGGGAGCAAACGGG
rnacentral:rRNA from 1 species